rnacentral:rRNA from 1 species
UACGUAGGGUGCGAGCGUUGUCCGGAAUUACUGGGCGUAAAGAGUUCGUAGGCGGUUUGUCGCGUCGUUUGUGAAAACCCGGGGCUCAACUUCGGGCUUGCAGGCGAUACGGGCAUACUUGAGUGUUCCAGGGGAGACUGGAAUUCCUGGUGUAGCGGUGAAAUGCGCAGAUAUCAGGAGGAACACCGGUGGCGAAGGCGGCACUCUGGGCCGAUACUGACACUGAGGCACGAAAGCGUGGGGAGCAAACAGG